AUGACCAAGCCACACUCAUGUCCUGCAGGUGAUCCAGGCAGAGGGAUCAUGAAUCAAGGAUCUCAUUAUGAGUCGGGGACCCGUGAGAGCCCCAAUGACAAAAUCUGCAGAGGAAGCACAGGAUCCAGAGACAUGCUUCAAAUUGACCACAUUCUGCCUUGUCACAUUCCCCAAAUCCUACCUCUAUCUUCAAGCCAGUUUCCUCGGGUUCAGUUUUCCUCAUCAGCCACCAUUAAGGUUUCUCUCAGCCAGCACUUCUCGGGCAUCACCUCCCUUCCCAGUCACGCAUGGGGCUCGAAGCCAUUCACGCUGUCUGAAAUCCCUCGCGCCGCAGAGCAUGUAAGCAGUGCAAAGUGUGGUCUUGCUUUCAUUAGCAGUGAUUUUGGUCUGGGGUAAGCAGCGUAAUGUAUAAAAAAUAGCAAGUAAUACAACAGUGUUAGUUUAUGACAUUUGCAGUUCACACAGGUGCUCAAAAUAGUUAAAAGUACUUUUUUGAGAAUACAAGUUAAUUUAGCAUGAUUAUAGUACUACUGGAAAGCCUCAGAGCGACAGCAACGGCAACUGAAGUGCUUGGGUUUUUCCCCUCUCCAUGGUAAAAGGUAUAGCGAGGAAGUACAUUAAGAUAUAUAAGCACCUAGGACAGCGAUUCCCAAAUUAGGUCUCUUAGAAGUUUUAGGUCCAUUAUCUGUAUUCCUAUUUGCAAUUACAAGGCCAACGGAAGCAGGCUUGUAACUGCAAAUACGACUUCCAAUCUGAAGCAUGGGUCCUCAUUACAAAAAUUCACAAUUGCUGAUUAGGCAUAAAGCUCUUUAUGAACUUACAAAAAGGCUAAAUUAUGAUGUACAAAUGGAUGGUCAAAUUAACGUUACUUUUGGUACAUUAUAUUUUGCAAUGAACCAAAAAAGACAUUGGAAGCAACAGGGUUUUUUUUUUUUUUUUAUGGCUUUUACCCUAUCAACAGAGUUCCCAUACUGACUGCACAAGGAUGUGUGUCCUAACGUCACAAGGAUGGUAAAGUCAAUCCUAGACUCAGAAGCUAAACUUCUUAUGCAAGACUUAAAAGGAAGAGACUAUCGUAGUUUGACACCCACUUUUGAAAAUCUCAUGUUUAACAGAUUAACUAUUUGGCUUAAGUGAUGAAUCUUGUCAUACUGUGCAAAAAUAAAAAAGUUACAUAAGAGAAAUUGUGUCA
rnacentral:lncRNA from 1 species